UAGGAUUUAGUUUAAAAAAAAACAUUAAUUUGUCAAAUUAAAGAUAUUAUGAAUUAAUAAUUCUAA
rnacentral:tRNA from 1 species